GGCUCGGUGGUGUAGUGGUCAUCACGUCUGCUUUACACGCAGAAGGUCCCCGGUUCGAACCCGGGUCGAGUCA
rfam:Hymenolepis microstoma genomic scaffold, pathogens_HYM_contig_3450